CCUACGGGGGACAGCAGUGGGGAAUAUUGCACAAUGGGGGAAACCCUGAUGCAGCGACGCCGCGUGAGUGAAGAAGUAAUUCGUUAUGUAAAGCUCUAUCAGCAGGGAAGAAAAUGACGGUACCUGAGUAAGAAGCCACGGCUAACUACGUGCCAGCAGCCGCGGUCAUACGUAGGGGGCAAGCGUUAUCCGGAUUUACUGGGUGUAAAGGGAGCGUAGACGGCAGUGCAAGUCUGGAGUGAAAGGCGGGGGCUCAACCCCCGGACUGCUCUGGAAACUGUACGGCUGGAGUGCAGGAGAGGUGAGUGGAAUUCCUAGUGUAGCGGUGAAAUGCGUAGAUAUUAGGAGGAACACCAGUGGCGAAGGCGGCUUACUGGACUGUAACUGACGUUGAGGCUCGAAAGCGUGGGGAGCAAACAGGAUUAGAUACCCGGGUAGUC
rnacentral:rRNA from 1 species